rnacentral:rRNA from 1 species
GAUGAACGCUGGCGGCGUGCUUAACACAUGCAAGUCGAACGGGAUCCAUCAGGCUUUGCUUGGUGGUGAGAGUGGCGAACGGGUGAGUAAUGCGUGACCGACCUGCCCCAUACACCGGAAUAGCUCCUGGAAACGGGUGGUAAUGCCGGAUGCUCCAGUUGAUCGCAUGGUCUUCUGGGAAAGCUUUCGCGGUAUGGGAUGGGGUCGCGUCCUAUCAGCUUGACGGCGGGGUAACGGCCCACCGUGGCUUCGACGGGUAGCCGGCCUGAGAGGGCGACCGGCCACAUUGGGACUGAGAUACGGCCCAGACUCCUACGGGAGGCAGCAGUGGGGAAUAUUGCACAAUGGGCGCAAGCCUGAUGCAGCGACGCCGCGUGAGGGAUGGGGGCCUUCGGGUUGUAAACCUCUUU